rnacentral:rRNA from 1 species
AUUGAACGCUGGCGGCAGGGUUAACACAUGCAAGUCGAACGAUGAAACUCUAGCUUGCUAGAGAAGAUUAGUGGCGGACGGGUGAGUAACAUUUAGGAAUCUGCCUAGUAGUGGGGGAUAGCUCGGGGAAACUCGAAUUAAUACCGCAUACGACCUACGGGUGAAAGGGGGCGCAAGCUCUUGCUAUUAGAUGAGCCUAAAUCAGAUUAGCUAGUUGGUGGGGUAAAGGCCUACCAAGGCGACGAUCUGUAACUGGUCUGAGAGGAUGAUCAGUCACACCGGAACUGAGACACGGUCCGGACUCCUACGGGAGGCAGCAGUGGGGAAUAUUGGACAAUGGGGGCAACCCUGAUCCAGCCAUGCCGCGUGUGUGAAGAAGGCCUUUUGGUUGUAAAGCACUUUAAGCAGGGAGGAGAGGCUAAUGGUUAAUACCCAUUAGAUUAGACGUUACCUGCAGAAUAAGCACCGGCUAACUCUGUGCCAGCAGCCGCGGUAAUACAGAGGGUGCGAGCGUUAAUCGGAAUUACUGGGCGUAAAGCGAGUGUAGGUGGCUCAUUAAGUCACAUGUGAAAUCCCCGGGCUUAACCUGGGAACUGCAUGUGAUACUGGUGGUGCUAGAAUAUGUGAGAGGGAAGUAGAAUUCCAGGUGUAGCGGUGAAAUGCGUAGAGAUCUGGAGGAAUACCGAUGGCGAAGGCAGCUUCCUGGCAUAAUAUUGACACUGAGAUUCGAAAGCGUGGGUAGCAAACAGGAUUAGAUACCCUGGUAGUCCACGCCGUAAACGAUGUCUACUAGCCGUUGGGGUCCUUGAGACUUUAGUGGCGCAGUUAACGCGAUAAGUAGACCGCCUGGGGAGUACGGCCGCAAGGUUAAAACUCAAAUGAAUUGACGGGGGCCCGCACAAGCGGUGGAGCAUGUGGUUUAAUUCGAUGCAACGCGAAGAACCUUACCUGGUCUUGACAUAGUGAGAAUCCUGCAGAGAUGCGGGAGUGCCUUCGGGAAUUCACAUACAGGUGCUGCAUGGCUGUCGUCAGCUCGUGUCGUGAGAUGUUGGGUUAAGUCCCGCAACGAGCGCAACCCUUUUCCUUAUUUGCCAGCGGGUUAAGCCGGGAACUUUAAGGAUACUGCCAGUGACAAACUGGAGGAAGGCGGGGACGACGUCAAGUCAUCAUGGCCCUUACGACCAGGGCUACACACGUGCUACAAUGGUAGGUACAGAGGGUUGCUACACAGCGAUGUGAUGCUAAUCUCAAAAAGCCUAUCGUAGUCCGGAUUGGAGUCUGCAACUCGACUCCAUGAAGUCGGAAUCGCUAGUAAUCGCAGAUCAGAAUGCUGCGGUGAAUACGUUCCCGGGCCU